rnacentral:rRNA from 1 species
GACGAACGCUGGCGGCGUGCUUAACACAUGCAAGUCGAACGGGCCUUGUCCCCUUUUUUUUUGGGGGUGGGGUUAGUGGCGAACGGGUGAGUAACACGUGAGUAACCUGCCCCUCACUUCUGGAUAACCGCUUGAAAGGGUGGCUAAUACGGGGUGUUCUGGCCUGCUCGCAUGGGUGGGUUUGGAAAGAUUCGACCGGUUUGGUUGUUUUGGUGGGGGAUGGGCUCGCGGCCUAUCAGCUUGUUGGUGGGGUGAUGGCCUGCCAAGGCUUUGACGGGUAGCCGGCCUGAGAGGGUGGGCGGUCACACUGGGACUGAGACACGGCCCAGACUCCUACGGGAGGCAGCAGCGGGGAAUAUUGCACAAUGGGCGCAAGCCUGAUGCAGCGACGCCGCGUGAGGGAUGGAGGCCUUCGGGUUGUGAACCUCUUUCGCCAGUGAAGAAGGUCCUGCUCUUUGUGGUGGGGUUGACGGUAGCUGGGUUAAUGAAGCGCCGGCUAACUACGUG